rnacentral:miRNA from 1 species
GGGAAGUCAGGGAGCUGCAGCUGAGUCCACAGGGGGAUGCUGCUUACCAGCUACCAGAGUGAUGCUCAGGGCUUGCUCAAGGCUCGC